GGGCGGUUAGCUCAGUUGGGAGAGCGCCUGCCUUACAAGCAGGAGGUCGCAGGUUCGAGACCCGCACCGCCCA
rnacentral:tRNA from 1 species